CGUGUUGUGAUAGUCGAUAGUCGUGCGUGUGUAUCGCUGGCUGUCAGCACUAGCAAAAGCAUUUUUGCUGGAGUCUAACCAUUUUAUUUUAGUUAAUAAAAACACAUAUUUCCUCUUUUUUUUUCUUUGUGCGCGUAUGUAAAGUGCUAAAAGACAUUCACGCGAAAGUUGCGAGUGUAUUGACGGGCCACCUCGCUGUCACAGACGCAAAUUUCCUACGAAAUUUCACAUACUCACACAUAUAUACAUACAUAUAAACACACAGACACACACACACACACGCAUACACUUGCAUAUAUAUAAUUUUUUUUUUUUUUGUCGUUCAUUUUGGCCCCCCUCGUACAAUAGUAAAAAGCCAACCUUGAGAAACACCCAACACAGCAGUUUUAAACCGUUUCACUGAUGUCCGCAAACGUUUCGUGGUAAGAUUUGAUGCCAAAGUAAAGAAAUUACCGAACAAGGCAAAGAAAUGGAAGAAGAAAAAUUGAACAACUUUACUGCAAACGGUCUACGAAAAUGUAAUACAAAGCGCAGCAUGCGUUCAAAUGCGGGCUAAAAUUUGACUUAAUUUUUUUCUUUUGUGUCAAAAAAAGGCGAUGGAAAAGAAACAUGUAAGGUGCAGUAGUGGAAACUGGCUGCAGCUGUGUGUAGAACAAAACUAAGAAGAAGCAGAGUUGCAUAUUGUUAAAUAGCAGCGAGCGCACGGCGUAGCCAUUAUACCAACAACAUGGACAACUUGCGGAUGAUGAAGGAACAUCGUUCCCA